CUGUGUCUCUUCCUUUUCCCUGUGGUGGGAGACUUGGCUGAUUAAUCCAAUGGACACAAGUGGAACAGGAGGGCAAGCAUCUCUUGCUGCUGAUAGAUUUAGAGGUAGAAUGAGGUGACACAUAUCAUGCUGCAGAUGUCAAAAGCUUGGAGAGCAGUUGGUAUGAGUGAGGUGGUACUGAGGCUGGAUUGGGGGGACUUGGCUUUAUAAAACUCUAGAGCCACAGUACAGAGCCUGGUCAAGGAAGGACAUGAGAUUGUUAGCCAGGAGUGAGAAACCGUGAAACACACAGGUGGUUUUGAUGUUUUCUGGGAAGAGAGUGUCAGUGCUUGCAGUUUCAUUGUAUAUGAAGCUCCUAUUCCAUGCUUAUUUGAGUGGAUGAAUCAAGUGCUUUGAAAGGAAAUGGAACAUGGUAGACAGGGCCAUGUGACACUAGAAACUAGAAGCAGAUGGCCUCUCUAUUUUCAAUAACCAGACCAAAAGACAUUCACAUUGCAUGGUGUCGUAAUAGAGAUUGUGAGUACAGAAAUGAGCUGUUUCAAAUGUCAAGUGCCACUUGGGUCCAUUGUAAGAGAUUUUUCACAGCAGAUAAAGUUGUCCCUUCUGGGGAAUUUUAGCCAGUAAAACUAGUACUAGGAUUACAAACCCAAAAGUCUAUUAAUACAUUAAUGUAAUAAUUAAUACAUUAGUCAGACAGUUAAUGUAAAUGAGUAAUAGGCCAGAUUUGAGAAAAACAACUGCACAUGUGUGAAGAUAAAUUUCAACUGAUAAUUAACCUUGUAAUAAGCAGAAGACGUUAGAGAACAGUGGAGCCUGCAUUGCAUUGGAAAUUGCAUGCUCCAUUUGAAGAGUGGGGCUAGCUCUAGGCAUUGCCAGUUAGCUAUUGCCAAGAUAGACAUUGCAAACAUAUUUUGGGCUAGAUUCUGUUUGAGAACCCUUAGUUGUGGACGCUAUUGCAGCAGCAUCUUUCUUAACUGUUGGCUGUGAGAUAGUAGGGUGCAUUGGUACCCAGUGGAAUUAGAGUUAAGCAGGGACUCUGAUUGUAGCUCUGCUGUUGUUUAGCUGUGACACCUUGGGCAAGUCACUUAACUCUGUGUUUCUCAGUUUUCUUCUCUGAAAGAAUUUGAAUAAUGAAUCAGUAGCUUUGCUGUGACAAUUUAGUGAGAGAUUGAUACCUAAAAUACUCAGAAAAGUUUCUUCCAGCAGAUGAUGAAUUUUUUUAAGUUAAGAGAAUGUUCCGGUCACUUCUGUGGACCUAAUGUAUGAAAGUGAUUAUUAUAAUUAUAAUGACUAUAAAUGAUCAUCUAUUUGCAUCCCUUUUCACUAUGAGUGAUUACUAUAAAUAAUGAUAAUCACUAUGUGCUGAAAAGGGAUGCAAAUAGAUGAAGGAUUAGAGCAGAGUGGUAAUGACCGUUUUACACACACACACACACACACACACACACACACACACACUUUCUCUCUCUCUCUCUCUCUCUCUCUCUCUCUCUCUCUCUCUCUCUCUCUCUCUUUCUCUCUUCUUGCCACAUGUAUUAACACCUUCUGUGUGCCAAGCCCUGUCUUAUCAAAUGUUGGGUCUUCAAAGAUGAAUCAGGAUGGUUCUUAAUCUUUGUGGCCAUAAAUUGUCUCAGUUGGCACUGUCGUGGCCCAGGACAGGACAGCCUUGCUCUGAGCCUUUUCAGGAAGCAGAAACCAAACAUGGGUGGUGAAGAGGCAGACCUCAGCUCUCUAGCAGCAAGCAUUCACUAAUUACGAGAUGUGGCCAGCCAUGGACCUGGCCAUUUUGGGAGGCUGUCAGCACGUCUUUUGUGGGCUUUAUUUAAGUAAAAGUCAGGUGAUUGUCUGUUGGGGAUGCCAUAGAUCAGUUGUCUCUUACUACUGAUAGUGAGAUUUAGAGGCGAAGUAAAGGCCAGAAGUCAUGUCUCAGAAAUUAAAAGCUUGGAGAGCAAUUGGUAUGAAGUGGGUGGUGUUGGGGCAGAGUUAGGUGGGGGACUUAAUUCCAUUAAGAACAAGAGUCAUGUUAGAGAGCCUGAUUUUAGGUAGGAUUUUAGAUAUUAAGAAUCCUGCUUCAAGGAUUUUGUAUCAUCUGAUCUGCUAAAGUACAUAUUUAUUUAUUUACUCUGGCUGUGUGUUAAUAUCAACUGGAGAUCUUUAAAACAUUGCCAAUGCAUGAGCCCUACCCCCAAGAUUUGUAUUCAGUUGACUUGAGGUGGAGCUAGAGUGUGGACUUCUCAGUGACCGUAGUAUGUAGAGAAUCACUGGGCACAGAUUAACAGAGAAAUAAAAUAUUAGGAACAGAACAUUUGAAGUGGAAGAAGAUAGUUACUUGUGAAAUUUGCUUAAAUAUGUACCCCCUUUGGAUGCUUUUUUCUUCAUUGUAGGUAGAAUGGCCUCCUGUUAACAGGUCCUCUAUUAAAAAGGUAGCUAGGUUACCACUCUAAUUAUAAGUGUUGAAAUAACUCUAUUCUACCUAAAAGGUUAAAGUGUACCCAUUCAUCAAAUGCAUCCAGCUGCAGGUGCCCUUCAUCAGUUUCUUGCCUUUCAACAGAUUGUAUUAAGGUUAGAUUUUUUAUCUGAAAUGGAUUAUCCUGUGAAAGAAAAUGAAAUUAGAAUUAUAAAGGUGGUUUGAAGGUUCUUUAGAGAGAGACUUCUUCUACCUGCAUGGCAGUGACUGACUAUUGAUUGGCUAAUGGGAGUAAUUGUGAGGAGCCCAGAGAGGGAUCAGGAAGAUUGCAGAUAACCCUAAUCAUGCAGAUAACCUAAAACCAAACCCAUAAGACCAGCAAAAGUAUUGUCAUCUUUAGACGUGAAUCAAAAAAUUACAAACAAAUAAAUUAAGUACCAUAGUUUAAGUAAAUACAGUAUUGCUGUAUGAUAAAAUAGUCUCCUUGCUUGCCUUUCCUUGUUUGACUCUUUUUCCUUAAAGAAAGAUCAGAACAGCCUUGGGUUGGACAGCAGCACAGUUGCUGAAUGCCUCCUACCCCUGCCACUGACUAAGCUCAGAGCCUCACCCUGGUUGUGUCAUCUCAGCCAUAGGAGCUCCUGGGAGGCAGAGGAACAGAGAAGGAGUUAUGACCUAGUCUCCUCUGUGCAUCAGAUAACCUAAUGUUUAGAUAUUUUGCUGAUUCAUAAUAAAUUUUCUCCUCAUGUAUGCCUACAACACAUUCUGUGAACAUAAACCUGUAUUUUAGCAAGAUAUCAAUUAAGUGAAUACAUGGAUGAAUAAUCUGCCCUUAGGUAAAGUGAGGUAGCUCAAAUUUUGCUCUACCUCCAAUUCUUUUAACAGACCACAUCUUCGUGGGUUUGCAUUCUGCUUCCCAUGCUGCUGCAUCAUGUAGAACCUCUUUCUCACUCUUCCUUCACCUGCCUAGCCAGUGGCUGGUCAUUUGAAGAAUUAAAUAAACACUUUCCUGCCUUUUGGAAGCUUUCUUUGCAGCUCCAGGCUCAGCUAACUAGAGCCUUCUCUCUGCUCCUCCUCCAUGUUCCCAAUUCCCAUGUCUGGUACUCUUGUUCUGGCAAUCAACACAGAAUGUAAACACUUUCUCCAUGCAAACAUAUGCUGCUUAAGGUCAGAACUGCGGCACAUUCUUCUUGAUAUUCUGGCAUCCAGCACUGUGCUUGGCAUGUAGUAGAUGCUCAAUAAAAGAUUAAAUGAACUUUCCAUUGAUUUACUUGUGUUUUUCUAUAAGAACUGAAAAAAAGAUUAAUUUCUUGGUUUUUAUCUAAAAUGAAAAUUAGAAAUUAUUCAUUCUAAUACAGUAUUGAUUCUGUACAAUUUUCAUUGUAUUCUGACUACAUUUUUGAGAGCAUCUUUAUAUAGAGACAGUAGUAGCUGAUUGGUCUAUCUUUACUACAGGCAGAAGUUUAGCAACAGAUAUUUUUGCAUUGAAGUAGCUGUAGGUGUGUGCUGUACAGUAUUUAAGAAACAAUUCUGAUAUUGCCCCCUUCAAUAUUCACCCACCCACCCACACACACAGGUGUAUGAAUGUGUACGCACCUGCAUCCUGAUUCAUUGGUGGUUCUGGAAUGGGACCUGGACAUCAGUUUUUUAGAAGUCCUCAAGGCAACACUAAUGUACAGCUAGGUUUGAGAACCAGAGCUUUGAGCAGUUCUGUUAUAUAGUGGAACCAUUCUGUUUACAAAAAAUUAUUUGACAUGCCUGUGGAAGGUCCCAUGGACUCUGUACUAUUUUUAAAGUUAGUAUUACUGUUUGUGGAGCUUCCGUGGGAGGUGAGAUCUUUUCAGUUAGGCAAACCAGCAACUGAGCCCCUGCCUUGUUAUGCCCAUGACCUUAUUUAGAUAUCUUCUUACAUUUACAUCGGCUUUUUUUUUGUUUAAUUUUUAAAAUUCUUUUCAAAGAUGUAGAAGAGUAAAGAAAGCAGCAGCUUCCUAUGUACCUACCGCUGAGGAUAAACAUGACAUUUUGCCAUAUUUGCCUCACCUCCUUUUAUUUAAAAAAAAAAAAAGCGUAUUUGUAACUUCACCUUUUCGUUUCCUGCAGGUAGCCAUUCUGCUGUGGUUGCUAUUCAUAAGCAUAUUGUUUUGGUGCUUUUACUACAUAUGUAUAUAUACCCACAGCAACAAACAGUAUACAGUCAUUCCUCUGUAUCUGAGGACAACUGGUUCCAGGACCUCCUUCAGAAGAAAACCCACAGAUACUCAAAUCCCUCAUAUACAAUGGCAUCAUAUUUGUAUAUAGCCUAUAUAUAUCCUGCCAUAUACUUUAAAUCAUCUCUAGCUUACUUAUAAUAUCUAAUGCUAUGUAAAUACUUGUUAUAGUAUUUAGGGAAUAAUGGCAAGAAAAAAGUCUGUACUUGUUCACAUGCAACCAUCCAUUAAAAAAUAUAUAUUUUCAAUCCACAGUUGGUUGAAUCCACAGAUGUAGAACUCACAGACAUAGAGGGCUGACUCUGUGUUUUAAGGUAUCUCACCUGGUGUCCUUGUUCAUUUUGCUAUGUCUAACACUAGUUUAUUCAUUUUACCAAUUGAUUUAUCUAUUUUCUGUGCAGCUUUAGUUCCAAAACACACUUCGUGCAUUUCCUAGCUUUGAGACAUUGGGUUCAUCUUCACUUUCAAGAGUCUGUCAUUGAAAAACAGGGAUUAAAAACCUAUAUCAGAGGAUUGUUUUGGGGAUUAAAUGAGACGAUAUAUGUAAGAUGUUUAGCACAGGGUUUGGGAGACACAUAAACACACAUUACAAACAUUUGCUAUUAGCAAGAUAUGUAGUGCUGUGGUUACUUUGCUGUUAAAUAAAAUAAUAUGUUAACUGGCUUGGCAACUGCUGGGUUUCUUUUCUCUUUCCCCUAAUAAUCUCCCAGGUAUAUUUAUUGCUGUUCUGCACAUUUUGCCAUCAGAGGCGUCAGAGGGCUGUGAAAGGAUUUCUGGCUUGCCCAUCAGUACAGGAUGAAUUAACAGAGGCUGGGGAGAGAGACAAGGAAUUACUAUGUGGGCUACAGGGUGGUAGAGGCAGGAUAUGGGGGCAGUGCUCCUUUUCCACUGGUUUUAAAUUCUCUUCAUUAUGCUUUACUCCUCCUGAGGGCCUACUUUCUGAGAAGUACUUGCCAUAUCCUUUAUGUACAUUAUCUUUUGUAUAAUAAUUUCCUGAAUUAUAUAUCUUCUUCUGUAACUUAGAGUAUUAGCAUUCCCCAUUAGUUCUGCCUAAUUCCAAAACUCAUGAGCUUCCCACUCCAGCAAGCAAGCCAACCAAAUGAGGUGGGAAAAAAAACCCCACCUAAAUGAACUAAUUUUAAUUAAACUGACCAGAAAAAGGUGGGUAUAUAAGCAGUUAAAUGCCAUUGUGCAGCUAUUAGAUGUAUUAUAUCAUCAAAGUAUUUAUUCAUAUUUAAGGGAGACCUUAAAAAGAGAAAGUAUUGAUUCUCUCUUGUCACCGCCAUGGAAGAAAUGCCUUUCACCCUCUGCCAUGAUUCUGAGGCCUCCCCAGCCAUAUGGAACUACGUGUGCAUUACCAUUGCGAUUUCUGUUCUCAUGACUCUGAUAUGUGCUAUGGCUACUUACGGAGCAUACAAGCAACAUGCAGCCUGGAUUAUCCCAUUCUUCUGUUACCAGAUCUUUGAUUUUGCCCUGAACACCUUGGUUGCAAUCACUGCUUGUUUAUUAUCCAAACUCCAUUCAGGAAUACUUAUGACAACUGCCUCCUAAUUUUCCCUACAGAAAUGACGUCAUGUCAGUGAAUCCUACCUGUUUGGUCCUUAUUAUUCUUCUGUUUAUUAGCAUUAUCUUCACUUUUAAGGGUUACUUGAUUAGCUGUGUUGGGAACUGCUACUGAUACAUCAAUGGCAGGAACUCCUCUGAUGUCCUGAUGUACAUGACCAGCAAUGGCGAUACGGUGCUGCUACCCCAUAUGAUGAUGCCACUGUGAAUGUUGCUGCCAAGGAGCCACCGCCACUUUAUGUGUCUGCCUGAGUGGCGCUGAGGGCAGCAGCUUGACUUUUUUGACAUCUGAGCAAUAGUUCUGUUAUUUCACUUUUGCGAUGAGCUCUCUCUGAGCUUGUUUGUUGUUGAAAUGCUACUUUUAAAAAUUUAGAUGUUGGGUUGAAACCUGUACUUAUCAGCAUAUGCUUUACUAGAACACUGUGAUAGAUGAGCUGUAGAAUUCUUUCUGUAGGAUUAGGGGAAUAAUGGGCUUCAUAACCUUCCCUAGGCACGGAUACUUUCCCCAAAUCUGAUGGACCCAGAGUCAGAGAAGUUUCACUCUUGUACCUGCUGGGCUUCAAAGUUAGGCAGUUAGUCACAUUUUUUUCUCUCUACUCUCUCUAUUUUGAAAGUGUAAAAUAAAACCAAAAGUAGACAACUUUAAGCCAUUCCAGUGUAGAGAACAAAACCUUAUGAAAACAGGAAUGUCAGUUGUGCAAUCAUUGUUCUAAUUAGGUAAAUAGAAGUCCUUAUAUAUGUAUUACAAGAAUUUGCCACAUAGCCUCCCUUAUGACUUAAGUUCAAUAACAGUUUGCACUUGGUGGUAAAGGAUAUUUCUCCAUGGCUUAAAUUAAGACGAUUAUAAAGCACUACGCUGUGGGAGCAGUAACCAUCUGAUGAGUGUUCUCCUGCGUCCGGGUCCAGGGAUGUGGGGUGACAUGGGGUGACGUGCCUCAUCUGUGUUAGAGGGUGGGAUGGAUGUGUUUGGUGCUGCAUGGGAUCUGGUGCUCCUCUCCUGCAUUCACAUCCCUACCCAGGGCCCGCUUUUACUAAGCAUUCUGCCCUAGCCUGGUUGAAGGAGUUUAUCCAACUGACUUUAUCAAGUGGAAUUGGGAUAUAUUUGAUAUACAUUUGCCUGAAAACAUGGAAAAGGGUUUUCUUCCUCCUUUCUCUGCAAGGUACAUUCUACUGCUUGGAACUUCCAAGUACACCUAGUCACCUUUUAAAAUGUAAAAGUUUUCAGAAAAAUGAAGGUUGCUUUCCUUGAAUGCACUUAUUAUCUUGACUACCUGAAUUGCAAGGGAUUUUUGUGUAUUCAUAUGUUCCAAAGUCAGCAACUCUCCUGUUGGUUUAUUAUUGAAAUUGCUAUAAAUGAAGUCUUUUGCAAUUAAAAAGAAAAAAAAGAGAAAGUAUUGUCUUAGUCUUAUUUCAUAGACUCGUUUCCUGAAUGUAUGCCCAGAAAAACUUUUCUAGAACAAAAGGGUUAAGAAAGGAAGGGAAGAAGUUGAGAGAGAAUACAUGAUAAUGUAAUUAAUUAGUAGAUGUUUUUCUGCUUUUAAUGUAGACAUUUUAUUCUAAGGUUAUGGUCAGAGAACACAUUACUGGAUGGGAAAUUCCAGGCCUGGGGACAGUGCACUCAUCAGCCUUGCUGGUGUCCUUUCACUUUGCUCAUUCUUGAUACAUGGAAUUAUAGAAAGUACAUAGCAUUUUAGUCUUGGAAAUCCAUAGUUGUUCCCUUGAAUUAGAAGGAAUAGAAUGUGUGUCUAUCUGCAUCUCCCUCU